rnacentral:rRNA from 1 species
CUCAGGAUGAACGCUAGCUACAGGCUUAACACAUGCAAGUCGAGGGGCAGCAUGGUCUUAGCUUGCUAAGGCCGAUGGCGACCGGCGCACGGGUGAGUAACACGUAUCCAACCUGCCGUCUACUCUUGGACAGCCUUCUGAAAGGAAGAUUAAUACAAGAUGGCAUCAUGAGUCCGCAUGUUCACAUGAUUAAAGGUAUUCCGGUAGACGAUGGGGAUGCGUUCCAUUAGAUAGUAGGCGGGGUAACGGCCCACCUAGUCUUCGAUGGAUAGGGGUUCUGAGAGGAAGGUCCCCCACAUUGGAACUGAGACACGGUCCAAACUCCUACGGGAGGCAGCAGUGAGGAAUAUUGGUCAAUGGGCGAGAGCCUGAACCAGCCAAGUAGCGUGAAGGAUGACUGCCCUAUGGGUUGUAAACUUCUUUUAUAAAGGAAUAAAGUCGGGUAUGGAUACCCGUUUGCAUGUACUUUAUGAAUAAGGAUCGGCUAACUCCGUGCCAGCAGCCGCGGUAAUACGGAGGAUCCGAGCGUUAUCCGGAUUUAUUGGGUUUAAAGGGAGCGUAGAUGGAUGUUUAAGUCAGUUGUGAAAGUUUGCGGCUCAACCGUAAAAUUGCAGUUGAUACUGGAUAUCUUGAGUGCAGUUGAGGCAGGCGGAAUUCGUGGUGUAGCGGUGAAAUGCUUAGAUAUCACGAAGAACUCCGAUUGCGAAGGCAGCCUACUAAGCUGCAACUGACAUUGAGGCUCGAAAGUGUGGGUAUCAAACAGGAUUAGAUACCCUGGUAGUCCACACGGUAAACGAUGAAUACUCGCUGUUUGCGAUAUACAGCAAGCGGCCAAGCGAAAGCGUUAAGUAUUCCACCUGGGGAGUACGCCGGCAACGGUGAAACUCAAAGGAAUUGACGGGGGCCCGCACAAGCGGAGGAACAUGUGGUUUAAUUCGAUGAUACGCGAGGAACCUUACCCGGGCUUAAAUUGCAGAUGAAUGACGGUGAAAGCCGUAAGCCGCAAGGCAUCUGUGAAGGUGCUGCAUGGUUGUCGUCAGCUCGUGCCGUGAGGUGUCGGCUUAAGUGCCAUAACGAGCGCAACCCUUGUUGUCAGUUACUAACAGGUUCCGCUGAGGACUCUGACAAGACUGCCAUCGUAAGAUGUGAGGAAGGUGGGGAUGACGUCAAAUCAGCACGGCCCUUACGUCCGGGGCUACACACGUGUUACAAUGGGGGGUACAGAGGGCCGCUACCACGCGAGUGGAUGCCAAUCCCCAAAACCUCUCUCAGUUCGGACUGGAGUCUGCAACCCGACUCCACGAAGCUGGAUUCGCUAGUAAUCGCGCAUCAGCCACGGCGCGGUGAAUACGUUCCCGGGCCUUGUACACACCGCCCGUCAAGCCAUGGGAGCCGGGGGUACCUGAAGUGCGUAACCGCGAGGAGCGCCCUAGGGUAAA